AACGAACGCUGGCGGCAGGCCUAACACAUGCAAGUCGAGCGCUCACCUUCGGGUGGGAGCGGCGCACGGGUGAGUAACACGUGGGAACCUACCUUGAAGUACGGAAUAACUGAGGGAAACUUCAGCUAAUACCGUAUACGCACUACGGGGGAAAGAUUUAGCGCUUCAGGACGGGCUCGCGUUGGAUUAGCUAGUUGGUGAGGUAAUGGCUCACCAAGGCAACGAUCCAUAGCUGAUUUGAGAGAAGGAUCAGCCACAAUGGGACUGAGGCACGGCCCGGACUCCUACGGGGGGCAGCAGUGGGGAAUAUUGGACAAUGGGCGCAAGCCUGAUCCAGCCAUGCCGCGUGAGUGAUGAAGGCCUUCGGGUUGUAAAGCUCUUUCAGAUGGGACGAUGAUGACGGUACCAUCAGAAGAAGCCCCGGCUAACUUCGUGCCAGCAGCCGCCGUAACAC
rnacentral:rRNA from 1 species